UGGCUUCUCAGGCUUCUCUGCAGCAUGGGUGUUCCUGCCUUGGCCAGAGCCGAAAUCCCAGAGCAGUGAAAGAGGAGCCAGUGUCAUGGGGCUUCUGGUUUCAGGACACACUGGAAAGUGUUCUCUGUGAACGUGGUAGCCGUCUCAGACCAGUCUGUGCUGGAGUUAUCCUGGCACCCAGCCUACAAUCAGAGGAAAUAUGCGGUUCAUCCAUGGAAUUUGAGUUUUUCCUGAAGAACACUCCCCCAGUAAAUCACGUGUACCU
rnacentral:lncRNA from 10 species